rnacentral:rRNA from 1 species
UACGGGGGGGGCGAAGCGGUUGUUCGGAAUUACUGGGCGUAAAGGGCUCGUAGGCGGCCAACUAAGUCAUACGUGAAAUCCCUCGGCUUAACCGGGGAACUGCGUCUGAUACUGGAUGGCUUGAGAUUGGGAGAGGGAUGCGGAAUUCCAGGUGUAGCGGUGAAAUGCGUAGAUAUCUGGAGGAACACCGGUGGCGAAGGCGGCAUCCUGGACCAACACUGACGCUGAGGAGCGAAAGCCAGGGGAGCAAACGGG